GGGCCUGUUGCUACAAUAAAUAGCACCACAGAAGGCUUUCAUGUUGCGUCCUGGCAUGCAGACAUCAUUGUCUUUGACCAGGCUCCCUCAUCUGAAGCUGAGAGGGAAUAUGCUGCUUCUGAGCUAGCUGGAGAUAUUGGUCUGUGGGUCAUUGAGAGGGUCAUUGAUCUUCCUGAGGGAACUCAACUGAAUACACUUGAGUGUCUCCAGCCUCUUAUCUUUUUUUUUCUCCUUUAGGAAUAACAUACUGUCAGGCCUCCUUGAACUGUAGCUCAGAAGUGUGGGACUAGUGUCAUUCAUACCAGCUGAGGACUGAGAGCUCCCCAGGAAUUUUCCUUAAAAUAAACCAAAAACCAACGCUGUCUUCAAUGGAGAGAUACACUGCAAAGAAAAUCGUAGCUGGCUGCAAAGGAAUCAUCUUUCCUGUUUAGACUGUAGAUUACCAGUGUCCAUUACUGAACUUUCUGGAUCAUCCCAUGUCAACACAAAAUUAUUGCUACACCCUACACAUGUCUCCAGGCCUUCACCAAAGAAAGGGAUAUUCAGUGGUUGAAAAUGAACCAGAAGAAAGAACUUCAGAAGAAAGAGCUGGGAAGGAUAGAAGAGAAAAAUGAAGUGAACUUUAAGAAUAUUACCUGGCACACCAACUGAGGAAAUGCUGAAGAACAGUUUUAAGUAAUCACUCACAUGAGUGCCUGUUUACCAGUCCAGUCCAACAGUGAGCAACUUCGAACAUUUACUCCUCUUGGACCAGCACAGCCAGCACCUGCAGCACAUCAUUCGCUGGUGAGUUUAAUGCUACCCGUCUGUUAUGUUCAUUUGUAUGCCGGAGCAGUGCUGACAAGCCUCCUGUUGUUCCAUGUAGCAUCUGUGUCAGCCAACCAGGCAGAAGAACAGAGGCAGUGAAGGUGUGACAAGAUUAAGACCAAGAUGGAGAAAGACGAAACCAGAGUUUCAGAGCUCUUGAGGACACCACAUGCCCAUGACCCUGCAGAAGAAACUGGAAAAACACCACUUCAACUUGUAAUUGGAUACAAGCUGUCUGAGAUGGAAAUUGAGAGCAAAGUUCUCUGUUUAUUUACGAGCCAGCACUGAUACCUGAAGCAUAAAGCAAGGCACCUUCAGAUCAAUGCCAGCAAACUCUCGACUAUAUAGGAAAAUCCUUCCUGCCACGGGACAAGCACGACCGUGUCCUCGUGUUCUUUCAGCGUAACCCCCACCUUGAUAACACUUGUCAUCUGAGCAGCUUGUAUGACAGGUCUGUGAAGUGGAUUACUACUGUCCACUAGAGGCUGUAAUGAGACCAACAAUGUCAUUUUAUGACAAAUUGAAGUCUUAGACUGUAAUGAUCGAUAAUUGUAAGAUUACUGUUCACAUGCAGUGCAUCGUCAAUCACUGGAUUUCCCUGAACGUGGAUGUUAAAAAAAAAAAAUCCAACUUGUGUUACCUCUUACUUUCCCAUUUCUUACAGAUACUAAUUACAUAAAGCGUGCAUGUUGAUGGCACGACAUCAGUGCACUGAAAGACAGUCUCUCCUAGAUGACGUGCCUCCUGCAUGUCAAACUGAUGACUGUCUUUUGGUCAAGAACGCAUUCAGCUGGGAGUCUGACCAGUUUCAGCACGUUACUGGCAGGAGGCACUGCUCGAGUGGGUUCCUGUGUCCAACUCACACCGUCGUGCUGGAGCCCCGAUCUGUACGUUCUGCACUGCCACAGUGCCUCUCUCCAUUCUUAUUGUCAGAACUGUCCUGGUCUGCAAUUGUGUCUGUUUUCUGUAGCAAACGACUUUCACCUCUGGCAUAGUUCUGCACGUCUGGGUCAAUAGACUGCGCUGCCUUGACAGACAAUGAG
ensembl:lncRNA